rnacentral:rRNA from 1 species
UAAGGAAUAUUGGUCAAUGGACGCAAGUCUGAACCAGCUAUGCCGCGUGAAGGAUUAAGGUCCUCUGGAUUGUAAACUUCUUUUAUCCGGGACGAAAAAAGGUCUUUCUAGAUCACUUGACGGUACCAGAUGAAUAAGCACCGGCUAACUACGUGCCAGCAGCUGCGGUAAAACGUAGGGUGCAAGCGUUGUCCGGAAUUACUGGGCGUAAAGGGCGUGUAGGCGGCUUGGAAAGUCGGAUGUGAAAGCUCGUGGCUUAACUGCGAGACGUCGUUCGAUACUUCCAGGCUUGAGGGAGGCAGAGGAGAGUAGAAUUCCCGGUGUAACGGUGAAAUGUGUAGAGAUCGGGAGGAAUACCAGUGGCGAAAGCGGCUCUCUGGGCCUCUCCUGACGCUGAGGCGCCAAAGCGUGGGGAGCAAACCGG